ensembl:lncRNA
GCACAACGUAUCUCCCUUCCUGCCCCUAGUCUAAGCUUCACGUUUCAUUUCUUCCACUCGCGGUCUGCCGCUUCCCAGGUCACCUUUCCUUUUGGAGCAAGAUCGCGGGGAGCCUUUGAAAAGGGAAGUUGGGGGGCGCACACAGAGGCCUCGGUUUCCGGCCUGUGAGUGGGAAUGCUGACCUGAUUUUUUUUUCUUUUCUUUCUCCAGGAGUAGCUGAUUCAGAUUAAUCGGUUAGCAGCUGGCGCUUUAUGCUGACUCUGAAAGAGUCUCAUGGAUUCAAGUUUAAAUUGGAGAAGAGGAGAGAGAAGAGACGAGUGACAGGAAGAAGGGCCUGGGGCCAAGAUGUGCAGAGAAGCUGGAGGUUCACGUACGUCACUCAGCGUGUCUCCUCAUUUCUCUUCUCCACCCGGGUGCUGCAGUCUCUCACCUGGGGUCCGGGCUCCUGUGGAGGUGUGAGGAUGGUCUUUUAUAUCACUUUUUCCUUGAGGGGACACAGGCUGCGGCCUCCUGUGGUACCAUCUCACUGAUGUCCUCUUAAUCGAGUCAUUACAUCAUUAUCCACCAUCCGGAAAGCCCUCAUUAAAACCUGUAGGAGACACAGACCACUUUCCUUGUUUUCUGGAUUUCUCAGCCUAGAGGCGUAGAUCUAGUGGAGUUGAGGCGGAGAUGUUACUGAAUGACAGUUGGACACAGAGCAUCUGUGAGGCCAACACGCUGUAGGGUGAGCCCCAUGGGGAGGGGUCUGCUCCCCGCCUGGGGUCACUGCCCUGGAAAACCCUUCACCACUGGGCAGCUCUUUGACCUCUGCACCUUGAUCCUUUCUGGACUCAGUGUAAAGUCCUCCUUUUUUUUUUUUUUUUUUUUUGUCUUUUUGUCUUUUUUGCUAUUUCUUGGGCCGCUCUCGCGGCACAUGGAGGUUCCCAGGCUAGGGGUCGAAUCGGAGCUAUAGCCACCGGCCUACGCCAGAGCCACAGCAAUGUGGGAUCCGAGCCGCGUCUGCAGCCUACACCACAGCUCAUGGCAAUGCCGGAUCGUUCACCCACUGAGCAAGGGCAGGGACCGAACCGCAACCUCAUGGUUCCUAGUCGGAUUCGUUAACCACUGCGCCACGACGGGAACUCCGAAGUCCUCCUUUUUAAAGUACUUACAGUUCUGAACUUGCAGGCUGUGGCAUCAGUUAGAGGCAUGGCCCACGUCAAGUUCAGUGCAUGUAGAUCAUUGUUCUGUUCGAGUCGCUCUAAGACAGAAGCGAGGGAGGUCAGAGUGGGUAUCUGGCCGCCUGGCAGGAGGUAGAUGGACACAGAGGGGCAUGGUGUGGAGGUGGGAUGGGACCAUGAAGCUGCUUCCUGGGGCCCCAGAGCUAGACGGGAGGCCACCCUCCCUGCGAAGUUGGAUGGGAGUGGGACAGGCCUGGGAGAUGGCUGAUGCUAGGAUGAAGGCUAACAAGCCCGGCCUCUAUCUUCCAGCCCGGGAAGUGGGGCCAGGCAAGGGUCAGAGAGCUCAGUUAGGAGGUUGGCAACACAGUUCAUGACCAGAGGCUCCAGCACUGGUCCACGUCGGCCAGAGGGAGGAGAGGGAAGGCGAAGAGGCCAGGUUUGGGCGGAAAUGAAGGAAGGAACCACAAUUAAGAACCUCUGGGAAUGCCGAUAGCCGCGGGACGUGUAGUUCUCCUGUUUGAUUUGUCCCCAGAACAGACACACACAAAAGCCCUGUGCUGCCAGAAGACAGAGCGUCCCAUCAAGAAAAUGCAGGGGAAUGAAGAAAGGACAGGGAAACCCUCAGGAUGGUGUGUGUGUUCAGACCCCACAGCACCGAACUGCAGUGAGUCACAAAAACCCGGCACAAUGAAAUGAGGUAAGAUUUCAUUUCCCAUUAGUUCUUUUAAAAUGUAUUUGAUCUUCGAAUUGAGUAAAACUGCAAGUAUUUUUAAAAGCUAAGUCAUUUUUUCUUUAACUUUCUUCCAUUAACCCCUUCCAAAAGAGUAGUUUUUCUGUCUUUCAAAUUCUCAAAGAAAUAGACCUUACUUUUGAAAAAAAUCUGUAGAAAGUAGAUCGACAUCAGAAGUUUCUACAGCUAAACAGCAAUAAAAUCACAGCUGAAGAAACGGGUGUGGUGCA